GGGGCUGUAGUAGAGUCGGUUACACGCCGGCCUGUACGCCGGAGGUCGCGGGUUCGAGUCCCGUCAGCCCCG
rnacentral:tRNA from 1 species